rnacentral:lncRNA from 1 species
GCACUAAAGAGCUAUGAGCCGGCUUGCAAAUGCCGUGCUUUAAGCGGUCCUAAAGGCCUUCAUGAUAUCUUGCUGCCUUGCCCCCCCCCCCCCCCCCGAGCUACAAGUCUAACACCCUUUUCGUUCUUUCCCGUUCUUUUUCCUUCCUUCUCCUUCAACUACGAUACAAGACCAUUCUCAUCUCUCCGGGAUCUGGCCCCUUACGGCUGCCAGGCCGCCGAGGAGGUCUUGUUGACCCAGUACGCGCCUCCGCAGCUUCCCUGCCUCCUCUUUGCGGCUCCCUUUUCCCUCCACCUGCUGUGGGUCCCCGGCCCACGCCGACCCCCCACCCACCGCACUGAGCACGUACGCAGCGGAGCCGAGCUGAGCGCCGGAAGCUCGAGCCGGCGGGUGGCGCGCGGUUCGUCUUUCCCGUUGCUGCCGCUGCGGAUGCUGCUCAAUCAACUGGAUGGUUACAUCCUGCCUGUGGCUAUUCCUAGUGGAGUUUCCGUUAUGACGCUGAUAUACAAUUGAGUCUACAAAGAAAUUUACUAAGUAGAAGCUGUAAAUCAAAUCAUGGAAACUCUUCGGUAAUCGGUGAUAAAGGUACAUGGCUGUGGCCAACUAUGAAAGUGCUGUGUUCCUUAAUGAGCUUUGAGAAGCAUGAUUUUUGUCUCAUUUUUAUGCGAUCUCCUCCGUCCCCCUUGUCACUGCAGGCGCACUCCCUCCUGCCCUGAGGCAUUAAGUAGGUGGGAGGGCCUCAGCUGUCUGCUCCACACUUUGAACAUAAAAGGCACACUUGACGGGAUUUGUUUUCUUUUGUUUUUGUUUUUGUUUUUGUUUUUGUUUGUUUUGGGGAGCCUCUCUAGGGAACUUCCUUGUUCAGACCAUUAAAAAGAAUCAAGAUUUAGUAAAUACUUCCGUUGGGAGAUGUGAUUGCAUCAUCCCGGGAGCCAUGGAGUCUGUUUCUGGGGAGGACUAAAUCGUUUUGUUCUUUCUCUUCUUCAUUCCGUCCAUUAGUUGCCAGUGUUAAGUAGGCCUUCCUUUUAACCUUCUCUUUCUUUUCAACAUCAGGGAGGCUGAGCCAGGAG